AGUGAACGCUGGCGGUAGGCCUAACACAUGCAAGUCGAACGGCAGCACAGUAAGAGCUUGCUCUUACGGGUGGCGAGUGGCGGACGGGUGAGGAAUACAUCGGAAUCUACUUUUUCGUGGGGGAUAACGUAGGGAAACUUACGCUAAUACCGCAUACGACCUACGGGUGAAAGCAGGGGAUCUUCGGACCUUGCGCGAUUGAAUGAGCCGAUGUCGGAUUAGCUAGUUGGCGGGGUAAAGGCCCACCAAGGCGACGAUCCGUAGCUGGUCUGAGAGGAUGGGCAGCCACACUGGAAGUAAGACACGGUCCAGACUCCUACGGGAGGCAGCAGUGGGGAAUAUUGGAAAAUGGGCGCAAGCCUGAUCCAGCCAUACCGCGUGGGUGAAGAAGGCCUUCGGGUUGUAAAGCCCUUUUGUUGGGAAAGAAAAGAAGCAGGUUAAUACCCCGCUGUUCUGACGGUACCCAAAGAAUAAGCACCGGCUAACUUCGUG
rnacentral:rRNA from 1 species